CGGGAUGUAGCGCAGCCUGGUAGCUCGUCCGCUUCGGGAGCGGAAGGUCGCGGGUUCGAGUCCCGCCAUCCCGACCA
rnacentral:tRNA from 1 species